AGCAAAUCAUGGAAAUAAGAAAAUCAGAAUGGAUUAUUUCAAGCAUGAGAAACAUUUUACCAACAUUUACAUUUGCUAUAUCAACAGUUUCUAUUGGGUGGCACUUCUAGGAAUUUUGAUACUGACAGCAGCUUCGAACAUGACAAAGAUGUGACUGAGGUACCGGUACGUCCUGUGGAAUUACCGUCUGAGCUGGUGUUGCUAUCAAACCUGCAUUGCUUACCACGGUGAUAUCUCUCUUCUAAAAAAGAAAAGAGAGAGAGAAACAGAUGAAUUCCCCAGAAACUUCUUUUUAGCUGUAGACUAAUCACCUGCUUGAUCCCAAAAUGUGAGACGAGUUCCAUUUCCCAUCGCUUGUCCUGCUUCCCUCCAUUAAAAAUAGUAGGUAUUUGAGCUAACUUCUCUCAGCACAUCAUUUUCACAACUUCUCUGUAAAAUGGGAAUGAUUUCCCUGGUGACUUUGUAAAUUGUGUUUUAUUGUUUAUUUCUAUUUAUGUCAAAGAAAGAUAAUGUGAAAUUGUCAAAACUUGCUAAAUGUAAUAUACAAAUAAAUGUUGGUAAUUAA
ensembl:lncRNA novel transcript